CUCCUGCUGCCCUCCAGGAAGAAGAAAUGCCAGAGGUAGAAAUUGACAUUGAUGAUCUUCUUGAUGCAGACAGUGAUGAAGAGAGAGCUUCAAAGUUACAGGAAGCUCUUGUAGACUGCUACAAACCAACAGAGGAAUUUAUCAAAGAGCUGCUUUCUCGGAUAAGAGGCAUGAGGAAACUGAGCCCUCCACAGAAGAAGAGUGUAUGAUUCUGGAACAGGGUGGAACUCUCCCGGAGACGAAGAGGGUCCUGGGAUUUGUACUUCAUGAAGACUUUUGUGAAAGAAUACGUGUCCUUAUGAACAAAGUUUUUUUUGGUGUGAAGGUGGGGGGAGUCUAUUAGACAUUUAUUCAAGAGUGUUUCUUUUUUGGUUUUAAAGGUUUUCGUUAAUGUAAUAUUUUAAUAGCAAAGAUAUUAUGACUGUGGCCACAGCCCAACCAAGGAUUAUCAAAGCAGGUGGACACUCAAGGAAGGGUCGUGCCAGGCUGCAUUUUCUGCAAGGACUCAGAUGUUUAGUACCUUAUGAUACAGGGAAGAUAGUUUUCUUACAACUAGUUUGGUAAUUUCUUUUUUAAGUUGUACAUUUGACUCAGCUGUCAAAUUUCUUGUACUUGUAUAUAUCUACACACAACUAAGUUAAAAUGUUGAUGUGAGUUUUAUUUCACAUGGAUGGAAUAAACUUGUGGUCGUCCUUUAACUGGAGGUCACAGCAUAUGUGUUUUCAAGAGGCCACUAGGCAUUCUUCACUGAGUGCUGCUGACUUCAACAUUCACUUUAUGCACCAAAGUGAAAGAAUUCAGUGUAUCCGUUAUUUUAAUGUGCUACACUACAGAAAUGUUAAGUUGGUCAAGGGCUUAAUUUAUGAAAUGUCUAUUAUUUCAUUGGUUGGGAUGCUUUGCCAGGUCAUGUGCUUAUUGCCUCAUCUGUGGUCUUUUAAAGUUUUAUGAACCUUUCAUUUGAAGAACUAACUUGAUUUCUAGAGAAAUGCCCACACUAUCUAAGUGGUAUUUUGCAUUGGAAAAAGGAAGCGCUGUGUAGCAACAAAUUGUCUGCUUUCAACUCAAUACUGUGUAUUAUUCUUUCUCCAGGAAAGCAGAUCAAAAGGAAGUUAGCAGAUCGAGUGUCUUCUUCCUUACAAAUAGAUUCUGGUAGCUUCCGUGCCUGGGGUAGCAUCAGACCAGUGCAUGUAAACUAAGUGUUAAUGUCAAGGCGAGAAAGCCUCACAUUCUCUCAAGACAGUUGCUAUAGGAGCCGACAUUGCAGGUUUGGAAGUGUGGUGAUUGCAUUUCUGGCUUCUCUCACUGGCUUGUGUUGAGGACUCUGGGUGCUUCUGGCCCUAAUUGUGCACCCUGAUCCCCAUGCUUGGAUCUAGGCCUGGUGGUGUGCUCUAGACCUCUCAGUUUCCAGCUCUUUGGAGAAGGAUACAAAUUCAGAUGGGAUGUGGGAUGGGUAAUAGGUGAGAGUAGAAACUCUUCCUUCACUCCAGGAGGCCCUUGCUGCUUCCCACAGAAACCCACCUACCAUAAGAUGUCUCUAGGUGGCCUUGUCCAAGGACGGGGGUCAGGCAUUUUAUAUCAAGGGUGCUCGGAACAUAUUUUAUUUUUUAAAGAAACUAUGUUUGUGAAUUCUGCGUAUACUGGCAAGGUUUUGAACAUGUAUUUAAUUUUGUAUUGUUUACCAAUGAUUUAUUUACAAGCUAUUUACUCAAAUAAAUGGAGCUGCUUACAAGUCUGUU